rnacentral:ncRNA from 1 species
UAAGGCGAUCCAAGAUAAGUAACAUUUAAAUCCCGUCACGACUGGCAAAAUAACCUUGAAAUUUUUGAGGGAUGACCUCAUUUAAUCUCCAGUAGCAAUUUUGACCAGUGUACGGGAGGUGUUAUGCGUCUGGAUCGUCUUAC